rnacentral:rRNA from 1 species
AUGUGUAUGUUGAGAUGGAUGUGUGGCCACGCGAGGAAGGAUCGAGUCCGGAAUGAUGAUAUACGAGAUAGAGUUGGGGUAGCACCAAUUGAAGAGAAGCUUGUCCAACAUCGUCUGAGAUGGUUUGGGCAUAUUCAGCGCAGGCCUCCAGAAGCUCCGGUGCAUAGUGGAUGGCUAAAGCGUGCGGAGAAUGUCAAGAGAGGGCGGGGUAGACCGAAUUUGACAUGGGAGGAGUCCGUUAAGAGAGACCUGAAGGAUUGUAGUAUCACCAAAGAGCUAGCUAUGGACAGGGGUGCGUGGAAGCUUGCUAUCCAUGGGCCAGAGCCAUGA